rnacentral:lncRNA from 1 species
AGGAUGUGACAAUCCGCGGGACCCGAGCUUCACAUAUGUAGUUCUUCCCCUGAAUUGCAAGAACUUGAAAUACUUGGGAUUUGAAGACUGUGUCUAGAACUUCUUGCUCAAACAAAGGAAAAUUCCAGGUGAACCAAAAUGAAAUUUCCUAUAAGCUUGCAUGUGGAGAAAUAAGGGAGGCAGUCUACAAAACAGCGCUUUCGACUGUUACAGGUGAGCUGUGCAGGCCAUCCAGAAAGAAAAUAGUUCUACUUCAUGAACAGAAUGCCUCUGGUGAGAUCUGCGUAGAAGGUUAUCUACUGAUUGUAGAAGAUCCUCAACCUGACAUUGAAUCAUCCAGCACUGAAUGCUGGAUCUAAUUAGCGAAGCUGAGGUGUUUCCUGAAUGUCCUCUAAGC